rnacentral:rRNA from 1 species
CCCGCUGAACUUAAGCAUAUAAUUAAGCGGAGGAAAAGAAACUAAAUAGGAUUCUCUUAGUAAUGGCGAAUGAACAGAGAGGAGCUCAAAAUGGAAAUCACGCGCAGUUUUGUGCGGGAAUUGUAGUCUGAAGAAGUGUUUCCAGUGGACGUUGCAGAGAAAAGUCUCUUGACAGAGAACGCCAGAGAGGGUGAGAGUCCCGUCGCUGCUCUGCGGGACGUCCACAUACGGGGCAUUUUCGUAGAGUCGCGUUUCUUGGGAGUGAAACGCAAAUUUGGUGGUAAAUUUCAUCUAAGGCUAAAUAUUUUAUGGGAAACCGAUAGCAAAGAAGUACCUUGAGGGAAAGAUGAAAAGGACUUUGGAAAGAGAGUUAAAAUUCCCCGAAUUUGCUGAAAAGGAGGCGGUUGAAAUGCGAAGUGCAAACCUGAUAGUAUAGUUGUCUGGGAGUUGCAAGCAUUGCUGUUCCACCUUUAAGGGUUGCCGUAAUGUUCUGUUGCUUUUGGGCAGCGAGUCUGUCAGGAUGAAUCAGCUGAGGUUGGUGCUCUCAUGUGGAGGUACAACGGGAGGUCUUUCGGGACCUUCGCUGUUGUUCUGUUUCCAAUGGAAAGCGCCGACCGAGGUAAAGGCAGAUGCUGGUUUUCUGGCAUGCUUGGUAGCUGAUAACAGAGUUUCCACCGGCCCGUCUUGAAACACGG